UACGUAGGGCGCAAGCGUUGUCCGGAAUUAUUGGGCGUAAAGAGCUCGUAGGCGGCCUGUUGCGUCCGCUGUGAAAUCCCGGGGCUCAACCCCGGGCGUGCAGUGGAUACGGGCUGGCUGUAGGCAGGCAGGGGAGAACGGAAUUCCUGGUGUAGCGGUGAAAUGCGCAGAUAUCGGGAGGAACACCGGUGGCGAAGGCGGUUCUCUGGGCCUGUUCUUGACGCUGAGGCGCGAAAGCUAGGGGAGCAAACGGG
rnacentral:rRNA from 1 species